rnacentral:misc_RNA from 1 species
AAGAGAACAUGCCCUUCGGGGUAGAUCUCCCACCCUUUGUUUAUAUACCUUUGUUGCUUUGGCAGGCCCGCCCUUGGGCCGCCGGCUUUGGCUGGCCAGCGCCUGCCAGAGGCCCCAAAACUCUUAUUAUCAAUGUCGUCUGAGUACUAUAUAAUAGUUA